UCGGCCACCUGUCCAGCGGCAGACGGAGGGGUCACGACAGGCCCCGAGCGGGCGCAUGUAUGCGGCCCAGACUGAGGGGCGGCGGCAGCCGAGAAUGUGGUCGCAGGUAUCAUUUUACUUUAUGGUAUUCGAGUUAGAGCUUUAUUUGAUACCGGUGCAUCGCAUUCAUUUAUAGACCGGCUGUUUGCCGAGUUGCAUGGCAUCCCACUUGUAUCUUUGUUGCAUCCGGGACGAGUCGUUGUACCCGAUCACUCUUUGGACAUUCGGGAGUUUUG
rnacentral:lncRNA from 1 species